UAAAUUGAGAGUUUGAUCCUGGCUCAGGACGAACGCUGGCGGCGUGCUUAACACAUGCAAGUCGA
rnacentral:rRNA from 1 species